UAGAACUAAUGAUUUGACAGGUCAAAUGAGAGCGUAACGUCUUGAAGGGCUUGCCCUAAUACUCCGAAUAGCGUUUGUAUGUUAAGGUAUAAAUGUUAUGAGCUCGGUGAAGUCGAUUGAGAGUACACCCUAAAUUUACAAUGGCAAAUAGGAAAUGUGAACCAGAGAUGGUCAAGUGUAUGAUAGGUCGGGGGUCUUAAAA
rfam:Epulopiscium sp. AS2M-Bin002 AS2M_MBin02_396, whole genome shotgun sequence.